GACGAACGCUGGCGGCGUGCUUAACACAUGCAAGUCGAACGGAAAGGCCCUGCUUUUGUGGGGUGCUCGAGUGGCGAACGGGUGAGUAACACGUGAGUAACCUGCCCUUGACUUUGGGAUAACUUCAGGAAACUGGGGCUAAUACCGGAUAGGAGCUCUUGCUGCAUGGUGGGGGUUGGAAAGUUUCGGCGGUUGGGGAUGGACUCGCGGCUUAUCCGCUUGUUGGUGGGGUAGUGGCUUACCAAGGCUUUGACGGGUAGCCGGCCUGAGAGGGUGACCGGCCACAUUGGGACUGAGAUACGGCCCAGACUCCUACGGGAGGCAGCAGUGGGGAAUAUUGCACAAUGGGCGGAAGCCUGAUGCAGCAACGCCGCGUGCGGGAUGACGGCCUUCGGGUUGUAAACCGCUUUCGCCUGUGACGAAGCGUGAGUGACGGUAAUGGGUAAAGAAGCACCGGCUAACUACGUG
rnacentral:rRNA from 1 species